UCAAAGGAAAAAGUGCCUUCCAUCAUUUUUGACACACACGACAGAGUCUAGAAUCUGCUCUCGUCUUCCGUCUCUUCUAUUCCAACCGAUGGAGGAGUUUCAGUUCGCCUUCUUCAAACUUUCAACAAUACUCGUAGCUCUUUUCGUCUUCUUAUCUAUCUAUUAGAUUUCAGGCAUUAUUCGCUCAAUCCUUGCUCGCAUCUUCUUUGUUUUCUCUUUGUCUUCUUUUCUUUCUUUGCUACUUUUAGAUCUAUUUAACUGUUUUCAAUUUCAUGGAUAAAUUUCCUUGGAUUUUGUAUUUUCCAACCAGAUGAUGCGGAAUUACCAUUUUAAGGGCUAUUCUCCGUCCAAUUUCAUUGAUGUUGCCUUCUUCUUGCUGAUUCACCUCUAUCUCUUCUUCUUCAUAAGGUAUUGAAAUUUAUUGUUCUACUAACUUAAAACAAAAAGGAUAUUUAAUUUUACUCCUAAUUCAUGUUGUUCUUCCUUUUCUUUACAUUUUUUGUAUAUGUUAUAUUUCUAUGAAUUGUGAAUCGCGAGUAUGUUUUCAGGCUCUUCUUAACUGCCUCUGCGCACACCCCUCACUCUCCAUAGCCGAGGAAAAGAACAGUAAGAACUCAUGAUAACCUAAUUUUGAUAAAGCACUAAAAUUGGUGUAUGGGUUGAGAUUGAAAUAAAGUGAAUGAAUUAAGUCAAAUGGCUAUUGGGAAAAAUUUAUGCAUAUAAAUUUCUAUUGACAGAUUUUAUUCAUUAUUUCAUGUCUUAGGAAUGCUUAAUUAGGCUUAAGAUGAUUUGGGAACUUUUCUUAAAAGUUGUGUUCGAGCAACAUCUGAUUGUUUAAACUUAAAUUCAUUUAUCUGGCUACAAAUUUAUGGAAUAAGGAAGGUAUGUUAAAGGGCAUGUAAUGGGAUUGCUUUAUAUGAUGACUCAUUGUUGUUGAUGGGAUUUGAAAGUAGAGGAAUAUUUAAAAGUAGAGGAGUAGGAAGUAGAGCACCGAGGAUUGAUAAAGAUUGUAUGAAGUUGCAAGACACUAAUGGUCCAGAAAAAGGACGAGAAAAUAGCACAGAUAUCCAAAACUUUAAGAAGCAGACAAGAGGAAUAGAGAUGUAAGGACAUGUAUAAGAGGAUACCUAAGCCAAGGAAGUAGCUUAAUUUUUUUUAUUUUUUUAUUCCUUGUUUAUUGGCAUCCACUGAUACAAUGUGUGUUCAACUAUAAAUUAUAGUUGUUUGUCUUAUUGGAAAUUCUCAUUCACCCAUCUUUAAGCCUAAUUUGUCUUAUUUUCUACUGAUAUGUCCAUGUCUUAUUAUCAACAUAUGUUAUCUUCACCUAUACUUUCUUAUUAUUCUCUACUUUUAUGCAAUUUUAUUAGAAUAUUCUUUAAGUUUGUAUUUUAUUAAGAUAUUUUGUCCAAAAGUAUAAGUGACGGAUGGAUCUUUCCAUCUUGCAUACUUGACUGAUUGAUUCACUUGGUUACUUCUUGACAAUUGGUUUUUUCUCCUGUUAGUUCAGUACCGAAUGCAUAUGGAUUAUCAGGUUUGUAUAUUUAUCAGUGGAAAAUAUUAUUGCAUUCAUAAAUACACUUUGUUUUAACAUAAAUAUAGCAUGUAUUAAAACAUUCUUCCAUGAUGAUUACUUUCAACUUUUACAAAUUAAAACUAUUACAGGAACCUAGAAAAAGGAUUAUUUUCAAGGUCAUGAAAGAGUACUCAAAGGUCCUCCUCCAUCACUUCAAGUGGCAAAGGCUGUGAACUAUUUAACUUGGUACCCUUCUUUUUAUCCAUCAAGGCCUCUACAUGCUGCUCUUUACUUCCUUUUUGGGUGUAAGUUUUUUUUUCUUCAUAUUUAUGUUUAUCAUUGUGAUUAUUGAUGGUAAGGCCCAGCUCUCUUCGCAUUCAGUUUCUUAAAUCAAUUGGUGUGUUUGCUUUUGUGCUUUUAAUUUAUUUCAUCACUUUCAAGUUGUAGUUACAAGUUCAAAGAUCAAUUGAUUUUUUUUUAAUAUUCCGGAACAUAUGAUGACUAAUAGCUUGUUUGGCCAAGCUGCAAAAAUUAACUUAUUUUGAGAAGUGUUUUUUCUCAAAAGUGCUUUUUUCAAAAGUAUUUUUUGGUGAGAAUCAGUUUGUGUUUGGCUAAUUAAUUUGAAAAGCACUUCUGAGCAGCAAUUAGUAUUUGGCCAAGUUUUUAAAAACUGCUUCUAAGUGUAUUUUUCUUAAAAGUGCUUUUCAAAAAAGUGCUUUUGGAGAGAAGCUACUUUUUUCUGCUUCUCCAAAACUGCUUCUGCUUCUCCUCAAAAGCACUUUUCUUUCUUCAAAAAGCUUGGUCAAACACUUUAACUUUGAAAAAAAAGUACUUCUUUUAAAAAGAAAAGUGCUUUUGGCUUUGGAGAAGCUGGGCCAAACAGGCGAUAAGUCUAGCAUUCAAAAACUUUCCUCUUAGUUAGAAAAGGUAGUAUUGUAAUGCAUGAAAUAACUGGUGAUCGAGGAGGUUUUAUAUUCAUACUUUGAAAGUUCUAGCUUUGAUAUUGCCUAUUAUUUGUGGCUACAAGAGUUGCUUUAAUUUUUAUUUGGCUGAAUAGGUAGGGUGAUUUAUGAUACAAUAACAUGUCGUAGUAUGUACACUUUCGGAAAUAAGUACUUCGUAAAAUUGUACUAUUGUUAGGUAUUGAGUUUUAUUUGUGAAUUGAAGUAUAUAACUCUUUCGCACAGUGUAUUAAUACCAUGAGAUAUUUUUCCGUUCUAUGAGUUUAUCUACUAAGAUUAAGGACAAAUAAAAUAAGAAAUCAAGGAUAGUUUUGCAUAAUUAUUGUAGUGUAUUUGGUAACAGUGGCAUGGUAUAACUUUGUUUGUUUCCUUGGUUAUAAGUCUUUGCAAAUUAAAUAUAAUGUACUACAAAUGUAUUUAUAAAAAAGUGCAAUUUAUGCAAAAAGGGUGACAAGAACAAACCAAAAUUUUGAGGAAAAAAAAAAACAUAUUACCUAGGCUGAGUGCCAUUUCAAACAUAAGGUGCUCUUGCAGAUAGAAUAACACAAAAACGUCAUUAUUGUUACUUAGUUGAUCAACCAUUAGAAGUUUGUUGAUUGACCGUUGUUUGGGAAGUUCUAGAAUAAGUACCAUCUUGAGCUAACUAUCUUGAACACAAUUUUAUGUUUGAUUAUAUCUUCUUCAGUAUUUCGUGAACUCUAAAUUAUUUUCAUUGUUGACUCUGGUAGAAAUUGAUUAUUCAUCAAUGGGAGAUUUAAAAGAACCCCAUGACUGAGGUAUGUAUUAGGUCUUGAGCACUACCAGCUUACUCAAUAUAUUUAGAUAUAAAGAAUGUGUUUUAUUGUAAUUGUCUUGAAGAGUUUGUACUUGAAUUAAACUAUCUACUCAGUUUCCUUUCGAUAUUUGACUUAUGGAACUUCAGUUUGAUACUUUAUGUGAUAAAUACAGUCAAUAAAUCAAUCUAUCUAUGUCUUGAAACAGAGAAGAAACUUUUCAAUUAAGGUUUGUGAAGAAAAUGAGAAAAGCAAAGUGGAUCACUUUUUUAUAUUUCCCUUUUCGUGUAUUAGAAAAUUUUAUUAUUGACAAAGACCACACUAAGAUAAUGCUGAGAUGACAUAAAAGAAAUAUUAAUAUCAGUCCAUAUUUAUUCUUGCAGUGAUGACAAAAAAUAUAUCAAUGUAUUUACUUCAUAUCCUUAUAUGUUCUUUAUAACGAAUGAACUUUUUGUGUCACUUAAUAGUCAUAUGAUAUUAAUGUAUCUUUUUCUUUUAUAUGAGGGAAAGUAAAAUGCAUUGACCAACUUUUCUGGACAUCAUUUGCAUUUCACAUAAGUUGUGUCAGCAUUAGCUUAUCAAAGAAAACAUAAGGCUUAGCAUUUUUUCGAUUUUUUCGUUAAUUGUUAGGUGGUUAAAUCUUAAUGAUAGGAAGAUCCUAUACUGUUUUGAUAAAAUAUUAUAUUUGAUGUAUCUUUAGAUUGUAGUAACAGUGUCUUGCUAUAAAAGGCCAUAAUUUGACUCUUGAGUAUAGUAUUUUUCGAGUAGUUUAUUUGUGGUGAUCGCACUUAUCUCUUUAUGUCGUGAUAUUUUUCAAUUCUUGCUAUCAUUUAAUAUUUUCUAUCUCUAAAUAUUUGACUUCUUAUUCUCUACUUGGAAUAGGACAGGUUGUCUGAAGAACACAUAGUAGCAGAUGUAUGAAUGCAAUACACAAAAUAUUUGCCAUACUUUAUGUGGCUCUUAGUUGGACUAUGUUCUCUUUUGUUUAUAGUACAAACACGGAUAGCAACUGAUAUAUUUAGUUGAUCACGUAGCAUAAGAUAGUGGGUAGAAAACGAUGAAGAAAUAAGGCGUACUUGAGCUUGAGUUUGAUUUUGUAAGUAUAUUUAAAGGAAGUUGAAGAAAAGGAAAUAUUUAGCUCAAUUUUGAUAAAUCUAGGGAAGCAAUA
rnacentral:lncRNA from 1 species